AUUGAACGCUGGCGGCAUGCCUUACACAUGCAAGUCGAACGGUAACGCGGGGCAACCUGGCGACGAGUGGCGAACGGGUGAGUAAUAUAUCGGAACGUGCCCAGUAGUGGGGGAUAGACCGGCGAAAGCCGGAUUAAUACCGCAUACGACCUAUGGGUGAAAGCGGGGGAUCGCAAGACCUCGCGCUAUUGGAGCGGACGAUAUCAGAUUAGCUAGUUGGCGGGGUAAAGGCCUACCAAGGCGACGAUCUGUAGCUGGUCUGAGAGGACGACGAGCCACACUGGAACUGAGACACGGCCCAGACUCCUACGGGAGGCAGCAGUGGGGAAUUUUGGACAAUGGGGGCAACCCUGAUCCAGCCAUGCCGCGUGCGGGAAGAAGGCCUUCGGGUUGUAAACCGCUUUUGUCAGGGAAGAAACGGCUUUCUCUAAUACAGAGGGCUAAUGACGGUACCUGAAGAAUAAGCACCGGCUAACUACGUGCCAGCCGCCGCGGUAA
rnacentral:rRNA from 1 species